rnacentral:pre_miRNA from 1 species
AAUAGGAAAAUGAUAAAUAAUAUUUUUUUCUCCUGAUUUUCAGUUUUUUCUUCCUGAAAAAAUUUAAAUCCAACUAAAGAUGCUAAAAAUUAAGAGAAAAAAAUCUAAUUUGUCAUUCUCCUAUU